UGACUCCCUUGCAGACAACUUGUAAAAUGUUAGGAGCAGAGGAUGGGAAGAAAGAGGCCAGAGGGAAGGUUCUAUAACUCCGCUAUCCUUAAAGAUAUUUACAAUGCCCUGUCUUUGGAACCGCCCCAGGCAGCAUUUCCCAACCUAGCGAGUCCCUUUGGUCUGCAGGACGGUGAGGGCUGGAUCUCGGAGAGCUCCGGGAAUCCGGGAGAGGUCUGCAUCCUAGGUUCACGCAGAGCAGGAGCCUGGGACUGAUUUACCCCUACUCCGUGAGCCGUACCUCUGCUCACGAAAAGUCGAGAAUAUUCUGGAGUGUUGGAAGGCCACAAACAUAAAGGAUCAGAACUGAGCCUGAGAGGAACAGCUGGUCAGAUUUUUUCAUCUUUGGCCUAAGUCACAAACUUCCCACAUUGAUGUUUGAUUGAGAGGGCACUGGAGAUAUACUAAGGAUGAAGAGAGAGAGACUGACUGCUCCCACUGAGUGGGUGGUACUGAUGAAAAGCAAGUAGACAAUAACCAUGUGGCUUAUCAGGAAUAAUCCACUGGAGAGACUGGAAAAGAGGCAUCUUCUGUAGGUGUGAUAAUUGUAGAAGAGUUUCCUGAGGAGGGGAAAAAAAAAGAACUAAAGCAUGGAAAGCCAUUGGAAGAAUUCAAGAAAAAGCACUUCAAGUGGAAGAAACUCCAAGAACCCUGUAGCUGGAGGGUAGUAAUCUGAGGAGAGGGUGUUGCAAAGUGGAGUGAGAAAGGAUGGUACCGGCCAGGUCAUGUAGGUCACAGUGAAGAGUAGAUCUUUGACGUUGGUGCGAUGGCAAGUUAUUGGAGAGUGUCAUGCUGAUGAGGGAUAUGACCUGAUUUGCCUUUGCAGAUCACUGACUAUGAUGUGAAGUAGAGCUGGAGGUGGUAAGCAAGGAGAAAUAUAAAUUUGCAUUAUUAUGAUUCUAGUAAAACAUUUUCUUCAUGAGAUGAAUCUACAAAUCUCAGAUGGAGUUCAUAAUACCAUUAGUGAAAUUUGCAUGGCUCCACAUGAGAAAGAAACAGGAAACAAAACUCAAUUCUGCAUUUCAACAUGAUCACCAUUAAACUAAGACAAUGAAAAUGCAGAAAAGUAACUAUUUUCCUCCAGGCUCGGGAGUAAGGAGUGGUUAUCAGUUAGAGAUUUGGGUUACCUAGUAGGUCAUUGGUAUUGACUACUACCCCCCCCCCCCCGUGACCUCCAUUUUAUGACUUCUCUUAAAACAAUAUCUGAAAUGUGAGUAGCCCAGAGGAGCCUGAGAGAGGGAGCUAUAAACUUCUCCAGGCUCCUCCCAACUAGAGGAAGACCAGGAGCCAGCAUACCUGUAGCAAGAGGGGGUCUCUGUAGUUAAGCCAGAGCAAGUUUUUGUUCACUCAUGUGCUUUUAUUUAUGUAUUUGGUACAUUGGUUGUAAAAUAGAAUUAGACCACAAAGCGUUGAAAUUAACAAUUGGAACUCAGACUUCCAGAGACCUGGGUGCUGCCUCCAGCUCUGCCACGUACUUGGGGCCAGUAACGUCCCAGUGCAUGGGCUCCCUCGUUAGUAGAACUAGGAGAAUGGAAAUGUGUUUCUCUUAUAGAUUCAUUAAGAUUACACAUGCAGAGUACUUAGGAAUACUACCUGGUAUUAAUAAGCAUUCACUAACUAGCUUAAAAAACAUAGAAAUGUAAAAUAGAUAAAAAUUUUGUCCUGAGUGAAUUAGCUCCCAAUUAAAUGAAACUUCAUGAAGGCAGAAACCAGGACUGUUUUACAUAUAUAUUGGGCUUAUAACCAUAGGCCCAAUACCUAGCUCACUAGCCAUAAAACAAAUACAGUUGAAGAAAGGCAGGCAGGCAAGCAAGAAGGAAGAAAUUCAGGGAGGGUAGAAGGGAGAGAGGAAAGAGAGAGAGGGAAUUUCUAACUAAUAGGAAGUGAAUUGUUUGAAGGAGAAUUUCUUUCACUCCCAUUAAGCAAAAGAAAUUGUUUAUAGUCAAAAGUAUCUGAUAAAAGACUGAAACGUGUUAAAGAUUUCUUGAGAUUGUACAGAACUAGAAAUGGAAAUCUAAAACUUUGUGUGUGUGUGUGUGUGUGUGUGUGUGUGUGUGUGUGUGAUGCACUGAAGAUAUUGCAUUUAUGUAUAGAGUGCAUUCUAGGGUUUGAUUUCAAUUUCCAAAAUAUGCCUCUAGAUUACUCACUUGUCUCAAUUUCCACUGCUAUCAUCCCAGUCUAAGCCCUAGACAUCUCUCAUCUGAACUAUUGCUCUCUCCUGUGUGUGCCCAGAAUAUGUGCUCACUUCAGCAGCACAUGUACUGUGUGUACCCAGAAUAUACUAACCUCCUUCUAGCUGCAGAGGCUUUCAGCUUCUGUCUUCUAACUAAAGUGCUCUUCCCUUAGGCUCUUUCCCAUCAUUCAGGCUUCAGCUGAAAAGUCACCCGUUCAGAGUGUCCUUUCUUGGCCACCCCAUCUAAGUAGAUUCUUAAUUUUUAUGAGAGUACCAGGUGUAUAUUAUUUCCUCUACUUAUCAAAACCUAUAGUAAUUUCAUUUAUCUGUUUCCUAAAGUGAAUGAUGAAUGCAUGAAUUUCUUUCUGAUUUAACUGUACCUCAGUUAUCUGAACUAGACAAUAAUUUGUUGAAGCCAAACACUGUUGACCUUUCUCUCUUUCAAAGACAUAAACUUUGUGAUGGUACCUACAAGUUGAAGUUAAGCACACGUUUUUCCAAACAACAUGUUAGAGAGCAUCUUUUAGUCACUGUUUCACUAUUUAUAGGAAAUUAAAAUCACCAUGCAAGUUGCAGGAAAGUCACCUGCCUAACACAAGAGUAAAUACGGUAAUUUCCAUCCCUUACUCCUUCCAUUCUUUCAUAGGCAUCUGCCAGCAUGGCAUGCAUAUUGAAAUCCCAAUUCAGGAAUGAAAAUCUGAAACCAAGCUAUCUGCUUUUGUGUACUCUGGCACUGCAUCAUUUAAAAUAAUCCAAGAAUGAAAAUAUGAGCUAAGCUGUUUGCUUUUUUAAACAUUGAGCGUGUCAAUCCUGAAAUUCCACUGGACAAGCAUUUACUCUCCACAAAGGAUUUUCCAUAUGUAAGAUCAUGUCUUCUACAAAUACAGAUAGUUUUACUUCUUCUUUCCAAUUUGGAUACCCUUUAUUUCCCUUUCUUACUUAAUUAUGAUGGCUAAAUCUCUAGUACAAUGUUGAAUUGCAUGUUGAAUGCUGAAAUGGUAAGAGAGACAUAUUUACUCUGUUCCUGAUUUGGGGGGGAAGUUUUCAGUUUUUUACCAUUAAGGAUAAUGUUACCUGUGGGUUUUUGUAGAUGUCCUCUAUCAAGUUGGGAAAAUUUCUUUCUAUUUCUUAUUUGUUGAAUGUUAUUUUAGUAUAAGAGGGUGUUGGAUUUUGUCAAAUGCUUUUCUUUGUCUACUAAAAUGAUCAUGCAUUUUUUGUCCUUUAUUCUAUUAAUAUGGUGUAUUAUGUUGAUUUAUUUUUAUAUGUUGAAGGAAACUUCCACCUAGGAAAAUUCUACUUAUGAAAUACAAUCCUUUUUAAAAAAAUAUAGUUGGAUUCAUUUUGCUAGUAACUCAGUGAACCAAUACUUUCCAAGUGGCCAAAAGAUGAUAUUAUAAUAUCAUGCAUGGGUAAACAAUCUAUUCAAAGUACAAGAUAGGCCAUGAAUUUUAAUGUAACAGAAUGUGAAAACCUUAUUAAUAUGGCUUAAGAUUCUCCACCAAAGCUAAUCUUUAAGAAUUUGUUGAUUUUUAUGGUAAUAUAAAAAACUCAUAACUAUAUGAAAGACUGUUAUAAUGUAGUCAGUUCUACUUUAAUGCAUGUUUUAAAAAUCUAAAUUUGUUCCAACUGGAACCAUUAGAUGAAUGCAGAAAACUGCACCCAAAUGAAUGGAGCUGUGUAGGAAUAUGUAAAAUGCAUCCACACACACAUGGCCUACCACAUCCUCCCAUCCACAUCUGGUGUUAUAAGCUUCCUUUUGAUUUCAAAUGAUUCUUCUGUCACCACUACCCCAAAACUCUCCAGCUCUAAGCCUUCUGAUGGACUUAUGGCUCCUGCCUUAAACUCUAAUAUUCCCAUUUCCUCUCAGCUUGUUUUGUAUUUUUCUUUUUUGUCUCUUAUUCUUUUGUUUUCUUCCUCUGGCACAUGUAUGGUAGUGGGUGUAGAGCCAAAGCAGGCAAGCCUAGUGGGAAUGUAAGCACCCACUCCUACAUGCAAACCUCAGGUAUUUUUCAAGGUAAAUUACCAUGUGUACCGUAGUAUUUAUUCAUUCCUUAAUCAUUUAACAUGUGUAAAGCUGUGAUACCAAUUUUACUAGAUUAUUGUCUCUGUUUUAAAUUACAUUCCUACCUGUUUUUAUGUGUCACUGAAAAGUUUAUGAGUGUUGUAUCUCAACUCUAUUUCCCUAUCAGCCUUGUGGGGUUUUUUAUUGAGGUAAAGUUCACCUAACAUAAAAUUUAACAUUGUAACCAUUUUAAAGUAUACAAUCUAGUGGCUUUUGGUACACUGACAGCAUGUGAAACAAUCGCUACUAUUUAAUUCCAGAACAUUCUCAUCAUCCCAAAAAGAAACCUCAUACCUAUUUAGAAGUCACUUCCUGUCCCCACUCCCUACCAACACGGGUAAUCACUAAUCUGCUUUCUCUGGAUUUGCUUAUUCUGAACAUUUCAUAUAAAUGGAAUUGUACAAUUGUAUGUGGGCUUUUGUGUCCAACUUCUUUCACUUAGCAUGAUGUUUUCAGGUUCACUCAUGUUAUAGUAUGUGUCAGUAGCCCAUUCCUUUUUAUAACGGAAUAUUUCACUGUAUGAAUAUAUGACAUUUUGUUUAGUCAUUAGUGUCCAUAAAUUGGUGGACAUUUGGGUUGUUUCCAUUUUUUACUAUUAUGAAUAAUGCUUUAAAAAAUUGAUAUAAAAAUUUAAAUAAGUAAAUAAACAA